UACAGAGGGUGCGAGCGUUAAUCGGAAUUACUGGGCGUAAAGCGCGCGUAGGCGGCUUUUCAAGUCGAUUGUGAAAUCCCCGGGCUUAACCUGGGAACUGCAGUCGAGACUGUCUAGCUAGAGUUAUGGGAGAGGGAAGUGGAAUUUCAGGUGUAGCGGUGAAAUGCGUAGAUAUCGGAAGGAACACCAGUGGCGAAAGCGGCUUCCUGGUCCAGCACCGACGUUCAGGCACGAAAGCGUGGGGAGCAAACAG
rnacentral:rRNA from 1 species